GAGACUCAAACAGCUCAGUAAUGCUUCUGCUGUUGGUUACUGCAUCUAAGACAGGGGGAGCAGUCAAGCCUGGCUUCCUAGAAAAAGUUGGGUUUGAGGAUCUUAAAUGCUUCACCUGUACAGACGAGCUUAUCUCAAUGUAGGAGCCAGAAGAAAGAUAAAGAAAAGUGAGAGAAAGACUAGUAGGUAACAGGAGGAAUGAGAAGAAUGAGUGGAGAAGUGGGGAGACAAAAAAUAAAUCAAGAUAAAUAGCAUAAAUGAAUGUGGACAAAGAUUGAAGGAAAGAGAAAUAUAAGAAGACAAGAGGAGGAGAAAUUGAGGUUAAAAUAAAGGUGAGGGCACAGAAUCUGAGAGCUUCAGAAUACUUCAGAUUACAACGUUCUAACAUUUACUCUUUGCUGGGGAAAGUAAGCAGA
rnacentral:lncRNA from 1 species